rnacentral:misc_RNA from 1 species
GAUGAAGAACGUAGUGAAAUGCGAUAAGUAAUGCGAAUUGCAGAAUUCCGUGAGUCAUCGAAUCUUUGAACGCACAUUGCGCCCUCUGGUAUUCCGGAGGGCAUGCCUGUCUGAGCGUCAUUGUCAACCCUCAAGCUCAGCUUGCUGUUGGGUCCCCGUCGUUGCUUUAACGGCGGACCCGAAAGGUAAUGGCAGAGUCCGUGAGACCCUAGACGCAGCGAGCUUCAAGCACGCGUCUGGACGUUUUUCGGGCUCGGUCUUAACUAGAUGAUAACUUCCGAUUGACCUCAGAUCAGGUAGGGAUACCCGCUGAACUUAAGCAUAUCAAUAAGCGGAGGA